UGCAAGUCGAACGCGUGUAGCAAUACACGAGUGGCGCACGGGUGAGUAACGCGUGGAUAUCUGCCUUUUGGUUCGGAAUAACCCCGGGAAACUGGGGCUAAUACCGGAUGGUUCCUUCGGGAUAAAGAUUUAUCGCCAAAAGAUGAGUCCGCGUACGAUUAGCUAGUUGGUGAGGUAAUGGCUCACCAAGGCGACGAUCGUUAGCUGGUCUGAGAGGACGAUCAGCCACACUGGGACUGAGACACGGCCCAGACUCCUACGGGAGGCAGCAGUGGGGAAUAUUGGACAAUGGGGGCAACCCUGAUCCAGCCAUGCCGCGUGAGUGAUGAAGGCCUUCGGGUUGUAAAGCUCUUUUGGCGGGGACGAUGAUGACGGUACCCGCAGAAUAAGCCCCGGCUAACUUCGUGCCAGCAGCCGCGGUAAGACGAAGGGGGCUAGCGUUGUUCGGAAUUACUGGGCGUAAAGCGAGUGUAGGUGGUUGUCCAAGUUGGAUGUGAAAGCCUUGAGCUCAACUCAAGAAAUGCAUUCAGGACUGGGCGGCUAGAGGACCGGAG
rnacentral:rRNA from 1 species